rnacentral:tRNA from 1 species
GGUGCAGUAGCUCAGUGGUAGAGCCCCAGAUUCGUGUGGGGGGAGACCAGGGUUCGAUUCCCGGCUGCUACC